UAUAAAUUUCGAUUUAUGUACAUGGAGAAUUGGGGUACGUUCGGGGAGCACGCUACUAAUGCUACCGCGUUCUUUUUAUUACUCCUUAGAUAUACAAGGAUAGAACGAUACGGUGGCGCUGAAUAGCGCUAAUAGCGAGCUUCCCGAACGCAUCUUUGGUAUGAAAAGAAUUUUGACGCCAGACAUUAUUGCCGCCACUUCCUUUUUUCUACGUGCAAUCAAUAUAAUAUUACGUGCAAUAUUUUCGUGCAACAUACAAACCUUACAAAUUUGGUACACGGAGUACUCGCCAAACAUAUGGACCAGCUAAAACGUAAUGUUGCCAAAUCUCAGCGAUAUCUCACCACAUCUUCUGAUGAAGCUCCACCAAAAAAAAAGAGGCAACAAAAGUUUCUGCGGACAUUGAAGAUGUUGAUGAUGACAUAAGAAGACAGCUAGAAGAACAUUCUGAUGAAUGUGAUAGUGUUAUUCACAAUGUUUCUGCACAAAUGUUCCAACAAAUGCACUUGCAGCCACAAAGCAGAGUCAGAGAGAAUACAAACUAUGAAUAAGAAUAUUGAGGACCACCUUGAACGUGUAGAAACAGAACUCAAAAAGAUGAAUGCAUUGCUAUAAAAAAUUGUGAAAAGUGUGCAGAAUUCAAAUACUUUAACGUAUAAACCGAAAUAUUUUCCAAUAACAUCCAAGGAAAAUAUGGAUGCUUUUGAAGAAAUAGAUGACGACGAGUGUCAAUAUACCAAUGUGGUAGGGCAAGAAUUUUUUCGUCACAUCUGUUUAGUAUUACUUAAAGUAAUUAUCAAGCAAUUACAUAGUAAUUCAUAAAAGUUCAAUAUUUCUUCAACAUUGAUGGCUUUAAUGUCAAGGAAACUGUAAACUUAUAUCUUAAAGAAAGCAUGUUAGAUAAUCUCGCACUUUCUUUCACCUGGUUAGAUAAUCUCGCACUUUCUUUCACUAAUCCUCGCAAGGGAGGAUUACCUUUAUAUAAGAUACGGCUCGUAAAGUUAAUUUAUGAUGCAGUGUGUAAAAAUAAAUAUUUUCCAAAACCGACUCGAUCAGAGUUCCAGCGGCACAUGAUCGAAGCUCUUCGAGCUGCGAAAGAAAGAGUUCGUUUCCGGAACAAACCUCGUGGCGAACGUGUUUUAGUCGCGCGAGAAAAUGAUCGUGAUUUUUGGAAUGCUGACGACACACAGUCUACGGACGAAGAUUAAAUAUGUAAUGCCAUUUCGGAACGCAGAGCAAGAGUGUUAACGGCACUUUAUUACAGAAUUCGCUCCGUUAUUUCUCUUACAAUCUUCUACAAUCUCACGCAUGUCUUAACGCGAAUUUUCCGAUUGACUAGGAAAAAAGAAUAUAUCGGGCUUGAUUAAUGAAAAACCUUUUUUUUUUU